UAUUUAUUCUGUCUCUCUCUCUCUCUUCGGUUGUCAUCGAAAUCCAAUGACGACGUCCACUCCUUUAACGGUGAGAUCUUUGAUGACCAUGCAGUCCUAUCCUGGACCCACAAGCUCUGUUGCAGACCCCGACCAUCGCACAAGCUAGUCAUAAUCCCAUUCGAUUCACCCUGUGAUUCCAAAAACAGCUGAAUACACAAUUUGACUGAACUCAAGCAUACAAGAACUGGAAGUAGAAAUGGGUCCUUCAGCUCCUUGUUCCUGCUCUGCCGUUCAGCAGAGAUGCUGCCUGGCCUGCUGCGUUCCACCAUCAUUUUGUGUGUGUUGCUUGAAUUUCCAGCAUCUGCAGAUUUCCUUGUGUUUAUGAUUAAGGAUUUGUCUACGGAAGUGUGAAUGUGAUGCAAUUUUCUACUGUAUGCAAUACACCACUUUCUAACUUUGAAGCACAUCAGAAUUAUAAGACUGAGGAAAGAUCGUGGAAUCCCAUUUAAGAUGGAGAUGAUUGAGGCUUACGAACUUCUGGAAUUUUCCAUCCCACAGAGCAAGUGAGAGAAUAUGUACAGUACAACAGCGGUCCCCAACCACUGGGCCGCGGACCGGUACCGGGCCACAGAGCAUGCACUACCAGGCCGUGAGGAAACGAUAUGAUUUGGUGAUACGAGUCAGCUGCACCUUUCCUCAUUCCCUGUGAAGCCCACUGUUGAGCUUGAACGCACGCGAGGUCAUAACCCGCGCGUUAUCCAUGUCAGCGCGGGAAGAAGAUCAACUCCUCGAGCUUGCAAAUGACGGCAGGCUGAAAAGUAUGUUUGACAUAACAUCUCUGCCGGCAUUCCGGAUCAAAGUCAAGGCUGAAUAUCCUGAGAUAGCCACGGAAGCACUGAAAAUGUUGCUUCCAUUUCCAACAUAUCCCUGCGAUGAAUGUAACAAAAACAAAAUUGCAGAAUAGACUGGACAUAAGGAACCCCCUUCGAGUAUCGCUGUCUCCCAUCACCCCUCGAUGGGACCAUCUUGUUGCAGGAAAACAAGCCCAGGGCUCCUACUGAUUCAGCGAUAUUGGUGUGUUGCAAUGAUUUUAUAUGUUCAUACGGGGAAAAUAUGCGCGGUGUUUAAUAUCCAAAUGUUACUUAAAAUGUUAUGAUGCUAUUGACUUAUAUAACCAUAUAACAAUUACAGCACGGAAACAGGCCAUCUCUGCCCUUCUAGUCCGUGCCGAACGCUACUCUCACCUCGUCCCACCGACCUGCGCUCAGCCCAUAACCCUCCAUUCCUUUCCUGUCCAUAUACCUAUCCAAUUUAACUUUAAAUGAUAAUAUCGAACCUGCCUCUGCCACUUCUACUGGAAGUUUGUUCAACACUUACUUCAAGCUCCCCUGUUCUUAUCGCUAUAUUCAUGUGAGGAAAAUAUGAGCUGUGUUUAAUAUUAAAUUCGUUAGAUAAACCCUUUUAGAAAUGAAAUUGAGUGUAUUAGCCAUUUAUCACCGAUAUUCUGGUCGUGAUUAACACUCCCCCC